UAGGGAAUCUUCCACAAUGGGCGAAAGCCUGAUGGAGCAACGCCGCGUGUGUGAUGAAGGGUUUCGGCUCGUAAAACGCUGUUGUAAGAGAAGAAUGACAUUGAGAGUAACUGUUCAAUGUGUGACGGUAUCUUACCAGAAAGGAACGGCUAAAUACGUGCCAG
rnacentral:rRNA from 1 species